UCAUAUGUUUGGCUUGCAGUGUGUUCCAUAUGUUCUCUAUCAUAUGGAGUGUUGGAUCUGCCACGUCAAUUAAUGAGGCGUGAUCCAAUCCUCCGUGUUUUUUUUAAUUCUUUUUCUUUUAUUAUUUUUAAUUUCUUUUUCUUUUAAAAUUCAUAGUAAUUUCUUUUUUUAUCCAAAAAAUCCCGAAAUAAUUUCUAAAAUUCUCUUUUAUUUUUCUUCAUCUGAUUUUUUUUCAUAUUUUAUUUCAUUGAUUUUCUAUUUUUCAUGAGUUUCUCUUUUUUCCUUUGUUUUAAUUGGUUAAAAAAUAUUUUUUUGCAUUUUUAAAUUCUGAAAAAAUUAUUACAUGCCUCUUAUUUUAUUUCCAGCAUUCCAUAAUUCUCUUGGCCAUUUAUUUGGUGUUUUG
rnacentral:lncRNA from 1 species